UGGGAGAGUCACAUGGAAGAGUCACCAACUUUGUUCAAAGUUGUCCCAACAUCUUCUCAAAUUCCUUAGAAAAAGAAAGCUUCAAACAGUGGAAAGAGAAUUUCAAAAGAAAAAAAAAACACAAAAGGUGUUGUAUUUGGUAUUGUCAUUGCCAUGCCACCAUUGAAAAAGAAGAAACAAGAAAAAUAGACAUGAAGACUUAUAGGAUUCCCACCACA
rnacentral:lncRNA from 1 species